GACGAACGCUGGCGGCGUGCCUAAUACAUGCAAGUUGAGCGCUGAAGGUUGGUCCUUGUACCAACUGGAUGAGCAGCGAACGGGUGAGUAACGCGUGGGGAAUCUGCCUUUGAGCGGGGGACAACAUUUGGAAACGAAUGCUAAUACCGCAUAAAAACUUUAAACACAAGUUUUAAGUUUGAAAGAUGCAAUUGCAUCACUCAAAGAUGAUCCCGCGUUGUAUUAGCUAGUUGGUGAGGUAAAGGCCCACCAAGGCGAUGAUACAUAGCCGACCUGAGAGGGUGAUCGGCCACAUUGGGACUGAGACACGGCCCAAACUCCUACGGGAGGCAGCAGUAGGGAAUCUUCGGCAAUGGACGAAAGUCUGACCGAGCAACGCCGCGUGAGUGAAGAAGGUUUUCGGAUCGUAAAACUCUGUUGGUAGAGAAGAACGUUGGCGAGAGUGGAAAGCUCAUCAAGUGACGGUAACUACCCAGAAAGGGACGGCUAACUACGUG
rnacentral:rRNA from 1 species